AUUGAACGCUGGCGGCAGGCCUAACACAUGCAAGUCGAACGAGCGGCGGACGGGUGAGUAAUGUCUGGGAAACUGCCUGAUGGAGGGGGAUAACUACUGGAAACGGUAGCUAAUACCGCAUACCAUCGGAUGGUCCCAGCUGGGAUUAGCUAGUAGGUGGGGUAAUGGCUCACCUAGGCGACGAUCCCUAGCUGGUCUGAGAGGAGUACCGGCCACACUGGAACUGAGACACGGUCCAGACUCCUACGGGAGGCAGCAGUGGGGAAUAUUGCACAAUGGGCGCAAGCCUGAUGCAGCCAUGCCGCGUGUGUGAAGAAGGCCUUCGGGUUGUAAAGCACUUUCAGCGAGGAGGCGUUACUCGCAGAAGAAGCACCGGCUAACUCCGUGCCAGCAGCCGCGGUAAUAC
rnacentral:rRNA from 1 species